CCUACGGGAGGCAGCAGUGAGGGAUAUUGCGCAAUGGGCGAAAGCCUGAUCUAGCAACGCCGCGUGGACGAUGAAGGCCUUCGGGUCGUAAAGUCCUUUUCUGUGGGAAGAUCGUGACGGUACCACAGGAAUAAGCAUCGGCUAACUACGUGCCAGCAGCCGCGGUAAUACGUAGGAUGCAAGCGUUGUCCGGAUUUAUUGGGCGUAAAGAGUGCGUAGGCGGCUUCUUAAGUGGGGCGUGAAAUCCCCCGGCUAAACCGGGGAGGGUCGUCCAAAACUGGGGGCUUGAGGGUAGAAGAAGAGAGCGGAAUUCCCGGUGUAGUGGUGAAAGGCGUAGAUAUCGGGAGGAACACCUGUGGCGAGGGCGGCUCUCUAGGCUAUUCCUGACGCUGAGGCACGAAAGCGUGGGGAGCGAACGGGAUUAGAUACCCCUGUAGU
rnacentral:rRNA from 1 species